rnacentral:rRNA from 1 species
GAACGCUGGCGGCGUGCCUAAUACAUGCAAGUCGAACGAGUUCUCGUUGAUGAUCGGUGCUUGCACCGAGAUUCAACAUGGAACGAGUGGCGGACGGGUGAGUAACACGUGGGUAACCUGCCCUUAAGUGGGGGAUAACAUUUGGAAACAGAUGCUAAUACCGCAUAGAUCCAAGAACCGCAUGGUUCUUGGCUGAAAGAUGGCGUAAGCUAUCGCUUUUGGAUGGACCCGCGGCGUAUUAGCUAGUUGGUGAGGUAACGGCUCACCAAGGCGAUGAUACGUAGCCGAACUGAGAGGUUGAUCGGCCACAUUGGGACUGAGACACGGCCCAAACUCCUACGGGAGGCAGCAGUAGGGAAUCUUCCACAAUGGACGCAAGUCUGAUGGAGCAACGCCGCGUGAGUGAAGAAGGCUUUCGGGUCGUAAAACUCUGUUGUUGGAGAAGAAUGGUCGGCAGAGUAACUGUUGUCGGCGUGACGGUAUCCAACCAGAAAGCCACGGCUAACUACGUGCCAGCAGCCGCGGUAAUACGUAGGUGGCAAGCGUUAUCCGGAUUUAUUGGGCGUAAAGCGAGCGCAGGCGGUUUUUUAAGUCUGAUGUGAAAGCCCUCGGCUUAACCGAGGAAGCGCAUCGGAAACUGGGAAACUGUGAGUGCAGAAGAGGACAGUGGGAACUCCAUGUGUAGCGGUGAAAUGCGUAGAUAUAUGGAAGAACACCAGUGGCGAAGGCGGCUGUCUUGGUCUGUAAACUGACGCUGAGGCUCGAAAGCAUGGGUAGCGAACAGGAUUAGAUACCCUUGGUAGUCCAUGCCGUAAACGAUGAAUGCUAGGUGUUGGAGGGUUUCCGCCCUUCAGUGCCGCAGCUAACGCAUUAAGCAUUCCGCCUGGGGGAGUACGACCGCAAGGUUGAAACUCAAAGGAAUUGACGGGGGCCCGCACAAGCGGUGGAGCAUGUGGUUUAAUUCGAAGCAACGCGAAGAACCUUACCAGGUCUUGACAUCUUUUGAUCACCUGAGAGAUCAGGUUUCCCCUUCGGGGGCAAAAUGACAGGUGGUGCAUGGUUGUCGUCAGCUCGUGUCGUGAGAUGUUGGGUUAAGUCCCGCAACGAGCGCAACCCUUAUGACUAGUUGCCAGCAUUUAGUUGGGCACUCUAGUAAGACUGCCGGUGACAAACCGGAGGAAGGUGGGGAUGACGUCAAAUCAUCAUGCCCCUUAUGACCUGGGCUACACACGUGCUACAAUGGAUGGUACAACGAGUUGCGAGACCGCGAGGUCAAGCUAAUCUCUUAAAGCCAUUCUCAGUUCGGACUGUAGGCUGCAACUCGCCUACACGAAGUCGGAAUCGCUAGUAAUCGCGGAUCAGCACGCCGCGGUGAAUACGUUCCCGGGCCUUGUACACACCGCCCGUCACACCAUGAGAGUUUGUAACACCCGAAGCCGGUGGCGUAACCCUUUUAGGGAGCGAGCCGUCUAAGGUGGGAC